rnacentral:rRNA from 1 species
UACGAAGGGGGCUAGCGUUGCUCGGAAUCACUGGGCGUAAAGGGCGCGUAGGCGGCCAUUCAAGUCGGGGGUGAAAGCCUGUGGCUCAACCACAGACUUGCCUUCGAUACUGUUUGGCUUGAGUAUGGUAGAGGUUGGUGGAACUGCGAGUGUAGAGGUGAAAUUCGUAGAUAUUCGCAAGAACACCGGUGGCGAAGGCGGCCAACUGGACCAUUACUGACGCUGAGGCGCGAAAGCGUGGGGAGCAAACAGG